GUCCAGGGAUGGGAAUCGAAUCCACAGUGUUCCGCUUACCGGGCAGAUGCCAUGUCCACUAAGCUACCCUGGA